GUGCCAGCCGCCGCGGUAAUACCGGCAGCUCAAGUGAUGUCCCAUAUUAUUGGGCCUAAAGCGUCCGUAGCUGGCCGACCAAGUCUCCCGGGAAAUCCACCCGCCCAACGGGUGGGCGUCCGGUAGAAACUGGCCGGCUUGGAACCGGAAGGCUCAGAGAGUACGUCCGGGGUAGGAGUGAAAUCCCAUAAUCCCGCACGGACCACCGAUGGCGAAAGCACUCUGAGAAGACGGCUUCGACAGUGAGGGACGAAAGCUCGGGUCUCAAACCGGAUUAGAAACCCCGUAUCC
rnacentral:rRNA from 1 species